rnacentral:ncRNA from 1 species
UUGAUAUGGUUUAUAUUAAUAUUUUAAUUUUAUUUAAAUGUUCCAGUAUAUAUUGAUUUAAAAAGUUAAUUUUUUUAUUUUCAGUGUUGAGUAUUAAUCAAAAUAUUUUGGGUAUUUUUAAUUAAUUUAUAAAUUAUAAAAGAGAAUAAUAAUGUGCCAGCAUUCGCGGUUAUACAUUAUCUUUUAAUUUUUAUUAUUAAAGGAAAGAAUAAUAUAAUAUAUAUAUAUAUUUAUUUUUAUGGGGGUAAAAUAAAUUAAAAUAUAAAAAUUUAUAUAAAGUUUCUUUAAAAUUUUGUAUUUAAACUAGGAUUAGAUACCCUAUUAUUCAAAUUUAAUUAAAUCUUUUUAGUAUUUUAAUUACAUAAUAAAUUAAAUUGAUUUGGCGGUUUUUUAAACUUUUUAGAGGAACCUGUAGAUUAAAUUGAUAAACCACGAUUUUUAAAACUUUAAAUUUUCUUGUAUAUCUCUAUAAUGAAUAUAUUUAAAGAUAAAUUUUCUUUUUUUUAAAUUUAAAUUUUAAUUUAGGUCAAGGUGCAGUUAUUUUAAAGUUUUAAUGGGUUACAAUUAUUUUAGUUAGUGGAUAAAAAUUUAAAAUAAAUUUUAAAAUUGGAUUUAAUAGUAAUUUUUUUUUUUAAAAGUUUUGAAUAAUGCUCUGAUUUAUGUACAUAUCGCCCGUCAUUCUCAUUAUUGAGACAAGUCGUAACAAAGUAGAUGUAUUGGAAAAUGUAUCUAG